rnacentral:rRNA from 1 species
GAUGAACGCUAGCGGCAGGCUUAAUACAUGCAAGUCGAGGGGUAGCAAGAUUGUAGCAAUACAAUUGUUGACGACCGGCAAACGGGUGCGGAACACGUACACAACCUUCCUACAAGUGGGGAAUAGCCCAGAGAAAUUUGGAUUAAUACCCCGUAACAUAGCGAUGUAGCAUCACAUUGCUAUUAUAGCUUCGGCGCUUGUUGAUGGGUGUGCGGCUGAUUAGAUAGUUGGCGGGGUAACGGCCCACCAAGUCUACGAUCAGUAGCUGAUGUGAGAGCAUGAUCAGCCACACGGGCACUGAGACACCGGCCCGACUCCUACGGGAGGCAGCAGUAAGGAAUAUUGGACAAUGGACGCAAGUCUGAUCCAGCCAUGCCGCGUGAAGGAUUAAGGUCCUCUGGAUUGUAAACUUCUUUUAUAAGGGACGAAAAAAGGUCUUUCUAGAUCGUCUGACGGUACCUUAUGAAUAAGCACCGGCUAACUCCGUGCCAGCCGCCGCAGUAACAC